UUCAGUCCUUGUCUUGGCGAUGCUGAGAGGAUAUCUCUUCCCUAUUUUCUUGCGUCGCCUCUUUUCUGAUCUAUUUGGCGUCAAUCAUCAUUCUCACUAAUACUAAUCCAUCAGGUUGACCCUCGUUGGACUGGAAUUUGGAUCAAUCGUGCAGGAGCAGGGUUCGUGGAUCCUCUAUGGACAGCAAACGCCUACAAGAUCCGCAGCCACACCGACAUCAUCUUCUGGCAUGGCAAGGAACUUAGCCAUAUUCCUACAGUAGACGACUGAAGAUGCAGAAGGAUAUUAGCUUAUGGAUGUGACGGUUUGUCUAGAGCAUAUUUGAUUUCAGUAUACAUACGUUUGAAAAACUGAUCAAUAUUAUUGGCACUAAACCUCUAGUACCAAGC